CUGGGGCGCCCUUUGGCGGUGCGAGCCGCGGUCCGGCCGCGGACUGCCCCAAGGUGAUUUUGACCUUUCUCGCCACCCCGAGUUGGCCUGAGGCGGACCCCGCCGAAUUUUGGAUUAGCCCCAGGUCAAACAGCUUAUCUCUUUCCACCUGUCGCGGAGGAGCGGGGCCCACGGAGGUUGUGUGCCCUCGUCGCCCGUCCGCAUACCGGGCAAGAUCUGUAAGAGGAUGACGUACCUGGCUGUGGCCCGGCCAGGCUAGAUUGCCACCACCGCACCCCCACCGCCGGGACUUGAAACAGCUGAUAAGUGGCUCGGGUAACUUCGAGUGUGGGGCGGCACGAUUUUUCUCGGACCAGGUAAGCCAAAGAAAAUGUCCAAGAGACAAGAAGGAGUUAAGGCUUGGUCGAUUGGGGUGAAGGUGUAAGCGGCACGCCCCCCAGUUUUCAGCUUUGUAAACGGAGUUGGUUCUCAGGUGGGUUAGCGUGAGUUCCCGAGGGGACACGAUUUCCGGGGGAUCCUGAGUGUGUGCGGAAGAUCGGCCACAAGCAAGGGCUCGAAACUACAAGGCUUUGGGUAUUAAAAUGUGGUGAGCAGAAGUUACUCGUAGAAUGAUUAUGUAACACUCUUUAAAUUCCUGUUCUAUCGAGGCAUGUCUGGUACAAGUGAAAGCUGAGAGGUGCUGUCGCUAUCGGAGCGCCUUUGAGUUGGGUUUACGUAAAAAUGAGCAUUACCACCGUUUUCAGGAGCACCGAAACGGAGCAAAUACUGUUAGGAAGCAAAGUUUGCAACCCUUCGUUUAUCACGGUGGAAACUGAUUUAAAACAAAACAAGACAUUGGACUGGACGACUGGCAAGCGUGAGGGAUUUUUAGUUUCCAUCACACUUACCCGGUAUCUGAAAGUUUUAUUGGAGAAGAGCUUUUCUUGUUUUCUUACUUUUUUUUUUUUUUUAACCACUUUGUGUUUUAGUUUACAUUGCUGUACAUUCCGGAGAGAAUCUUGUCUGGCAAAUUAUUUUAUCUGUUUCGUUUUUAUUUUUUUUUUUAAGCUGGAUUUUUUUUAUACACCCAGCAAGAUAGAGCUGAGAAGUGAAAAUUAAGAGGUUAAAUUGUUCUUAGGCCUCGGGAGGAGGUACGAACUGGCAGGACGGAAGAAAGACGCUGAUUUUAUUAGUCACCGCAUAGCAACGGGCACACAGAAACUAGGUGGUGAGGAAGAUUUGGCCAAAAAUUGGUUAAGCAAAACACAUUAGGCCUCUAAAGAAUAUACCGGUGCUUGAACUUCUCUUAGCUGUCACUGACGCUCGUCACUCCAAAUACCACACACUACAGCCCGGAAUGUGAAAACAUCACUGAACUAUGCCAGUGAUAAUCUCUUAAAUAAUAAAGUGUUUUUAAAUGUUAUUUGUCUGACUUCUUUCUUUGGAAAGCAAACAAUUCAGUCAUCUUCUCCUAGUCCUAGUUUGGAAGAAAGGACCAGAAGUGAUUGGUUUAUACCUUAAAGGUUUUACAUCCUCUCCAGAAUAUAAAGGUUGAAAGUUUAUGUGCGUUCAGUGGUGUUUCUUAGUAAUACAUAACAUUAGCCUUGGUAUGUAUAUGCAGUCAUCUGGAGUAAAUACUCUUACAAAUUACCGAUGCUUAUGUCCAUAGUAGUAAGUUUCAACAGGUUACAUCUUCUUUCCUCCGGAGGAGGACGUUGAAAACCCCCUGUAUUCUCCGUUCCUUAGUAAAUUAAAACAACAAAACUUCCUCAUGCAGCAUUGCUUUUCUACCAAACUGAUUGACUGAUAGGAAGUCCACACUCUAUAGCCUCAUUUCCACCUGCUGCUCUUUUCUCCCCGAAAUGCGAACAGAUUAAUAGGGGCCUCCAAAUUAUUGCGUUAAAUGGACACUGCUGAUACUUUUCUUCGAGCUUUCUCAAGCGCUCGCUUCUUUUUAAUUAUUCACUCUUUAAUUUGCUUCCCUUUUGCAGUGUCUCCCUCUUCGUUCUUAAAUCUCUGUCCUUUCAUUUGGUCCUCGUCCAGAUUAUCAAGUAAUUAUAAAACGAUGUAAAUGAUGCAAAUAUUCCCAGUGGGAAAAGAGGUGAGAGGCUUAAUCUUGUCCUCAUUGCAUGAUUAUCUGUUAAUUUAAUAAACAUCUGGGGCUUUUAAUAGAUUUAUAGUGAGGGCAAAAGAGAGUGGUUGUCUUUAGGAGUAUGUAGGGGUUACACAGAGUCUAUAGAGAAACACCGUUAAGUACUUCAAAUCAGUUCGAAUCUUUAAAAUCCUGUUUUUCCUUCAGGUCUCCAUUUCAGGGUCACUUUCUCAGGGAAUCCUUCCCUAACAUGUCUGCAGUUCCUCUAGAUUAUUCUUUCACUAGCUAACAUGCUGAAAUGUAAGUUCUUUUUUAAUAGAGGGAACUAUUUCCCCAAUAUGUGGUAUACACACAAACGUUUGUUGAUGGUGCCCUAUGCUUUUUUUCGGGCCUUCAGUUUAUACUUAGACUCACCCCUCAACUAGUCUCUGUUAUUUACUCCAUCCAGGACCAAGUUGGUCAGGUGUCUUUCCCAGCCGGCCUCACUGGUUUUGUUUUGCAAAUUGGAUACAAUUUAAACUUUUUAACAGCAACAGAGCCUCUUCAUUUUGUAGCAACCCAUCUCUCCAGUUUACCUCCUGGCCCUUUUCCCCUUUACACGUGUGAGUUUCCUCAUCCAGGAAAUGUUCCUCCCUCCUUGUUCAUUUCUCACUCAUUUUUUCAAACAGCUUGGACACCAGCCCGCUUCUAACUUCUGGGCAAUAUAGUGAUCUACUCCGUCUACUGCCUCUGCUCCAUACCACACAACUACAAAUUCUUGUCUCCCCUCUAAGUCUAUGAAACCCUGAGGUUUAGGAACUGUGAAUUAUUAAUUUUUAAGUUGCUAGAACUUUCUAGAAAGAUUGGCACGUAAUUAGCAAUUAAUAAAAUACUUGUAUUGAAGGUUGACUAAGAAGUUACUGUGGAAAAUUGCUGCCCUCAAAUAUCUCAAAAGCCUGUGCAGGGGACCAUUCAAACAUCACUGUGGUCACAAGUUUAAAUGACACUAUUUCCUUACCCAGAAUACAUCAGGAUAUUGGGGAGAUUGCAGUUUACUGCUGAAUUUUGUUAACUCUGCCUGAUUGGGGAUUUUAUUCUGCAGGAAUUACGACUUCUCAACCUAGCAUAAUUGCCCUCAUUUUCUCUUAGGUUAUGUUCAAAUAGCCAGCGACUGCAAUUAACGUAAUUUGGCUUUUUUUCAAAGAAUGGGUUAGAGCUAACCAUUUUUAAAGUUUAGCUCCUUUUAAAAAAGUUUUGGCUUUCGUUUUUAAGAUCAUAGCUAAUGAUGUAUAAAACGCGGUCAUGCACUACUUAGAGGCUCUGGCACUAUGAUUGUCAAGUUAAUAUUCAUAGUACUGUUUACAGAUGUUGAAGCUGCCCUACUCAGCUGGUUUGUUGGUACUCACGUAUUAUUAAUGAUAAUGAUGCUAGUUAACUUAUGAGUGUGUGUCUUCAAAGCUAGUGAUGAGUGUAAUGGGCCGGUGAACAACAGUGUCUAACGCCGCAACACAUACAACACUUCCAGCCUGCUUCAUUGCCCAACAGAUUUAAAUUUUUUUUUUUAACGUUUUUUUUUUUUUUGAGACAGAGAGAGACAGAGCAUGAACGGGGGAGGGUCAGAGAGAGGGAGACACAGAAUCCGAAACAGGCUCCAGGCUCCGAGCUGUCAGCACAGAGCCCGACGUGGGGCUCGAACUCAUGGACCAGGAGAUCAUGACCUGAGCCGAAGUCGGCCGCUUAACCGACUGAACCACCCAGGCGCCCGCCCCCCAACAGAUUUAAACCAAUAGGUUGGCACAAACUAUUUGUAGUCACUUUUCACAUUAAGUUCUUGUCUUUCAUUAUUUUGAAGAGUUUUUCAACCAAGUGUCCAAAUACACAGCUGAAAUGUCCUAAAGCAGAAGCUUAUCAGUCCUACAGAUACAGAGACAGAGAGACAAACAUCAAGUGGUAGUUGGACUUCAGGUGGUACCUUUCAAACUUCUUUAUUGUGACUCACGUUAAAAAUUACGUUUUAGGGGCGGCUGGGUGGCCCCGUCCAUUCAACGUCCGACUUCGGCUCAGGUCAUGAUCUCGCAGUUCGUGAGUUCGAGCCCCAUGUCGGGCUCUGGGCUGACAGUUCAGAGCCUGGAGCCUGCUUCGGAUUCUGUGUCUCCCUCUGUCUCUACCCCACCUCUGCUCACACUCUGUGUCUCUCUCAAAAAUAAAUAAACAUUAAAAAAAUGUUUAAAGAUGGGAAUGCAAGCUGGUGCAGCCACUCUGGAAAACAGUAUGAAGGUUCCUCAAAAAACUAAACACAGAACUACCCUACGACCCGGCAAUUACACUGCUAGGCAUUUAUCCACGGGAUACAGGUGUGCUGUUUCGAAGGGACACACGCACCCCCCAUGUUUUUAGCUGCACUAUCAACAAUAGCCAAAGUAUGGAAAGAGCCCAAAUGUCCAUCAAUGGAUGAACAGAUAAAGAAGAUGUGGUAUAUAUACACAAUGGAGUAUUACUCGGCAAUCAAAAAGAAUGAAAUCUUGCCAUUUGCAACUACGUGGGUGGAACCAGAGGGUAUCAUGCUAAGUGAAAUUAGAGAAAGACAAAAAUCAUAUGACUUCACUCAUACGAGGACUUUAAGAGACAGAACAGAUGAACACAAGGGAAGGGGAAAAAUUAAUACAGAAACAGAGGGGGACAAAACAGAAGAGACUCAUAAAUGUGGAGAAUAAACUGAGGGUUACUGGAGGGGUUGUGGCAGGGGGGAUGGGCUAAAUGGGUAAGGGGCAUUAAGGAAUCUACUCCUGAAAUCAUUGUGGCACUAUCUGCUAAUUUGGAUGUAAAUUUUAAAAAAUAAGAAAUAAAAUCAAAUUUAAAAAAUUAAAACAUUAUACGGGUGCCUGGAUGGCUCAGUUGGUUGGGCAUCCAGCUCUUGAUUUCUGCUCAGGUCAUGAUCUCACGGGUUCUUGAGUUCGACCCUGUGGUAGGCUCUGUGCUGACAGUGCAGGACCUGCUUGGGAUUCUCCCUCUCUCUCCCUGUCUCUUUCUUUCUCAAAAUAAACUUAAAGAAAUACAUUUUAACAUUGUGACUUGGUGCAUACAUGCAGGCCUCUGUCACUGAAACCAUGUUUUAUGAAAAUAAUACUUGCGACUCACUCCAAUAUUUUCUAUUCUAUUUUUGUUCCAAUGCUAAUCUUGACCCACUAAAUUGAUUUUACCACCCUUCAAUGGCUUGGAAGAUCUUAGAGUUGGCAACAGGCCUCAAACCUUGAGAUAUUUUGCCCCUGAUUUUUCCAUCAGCGCUUCCUAUGUAGACUGCACCCCUGGAUAGUAAAGUUUGUGAUUAUGUUUAUUUAAAAAAAAAAAAAAAAAAACCUAACUGAAGCUGGUGCAACACUAGUGAGUGUAUCUUAGAUGGCAAAUGUGGGCUUUAGGUGCAGACCUAUUUGUCUUAAUAGCCUUAUCCAGUUUCUAUUCAUUUUCUCCAUUUUUACAGAUGGGGAAAUGAGGGGUUAAGUAACUAAUUCCUUCUAGGUAAUGUCCUUCAGCUAGAAACUGUUACGGCCAGUAUAGAGCCCAGCCAAUUUGACAGGCUGUAGUCUUAAGCACCACAUUAUGCUGUCCCUUAAUUUCCUGCAUUUCUAGAGGGGGAAAAAAUUAAAAUUUUAAGUCUAGCAGUAGGCCACAGAAUUUCAGCACUAUUCACGUUUUGGGCCAGGUAAUUUUUUGUUAUAAGAGGGCUGUCUUCUACAUUUUAGGAUAUUUAACAACAUUCUUAACUUCUACCCACUAGAUGCCAGUGGCACCCCCAGUUAUGCCAACCAAAAAUGUCUCUGGAUGUUUGUAAUGUUCCCAGAGUGACCAAAUCACUUUCUUCCCAGAACCACAGACUUAAGCAUGGUACAUCCAUACAAUGAAAUGCAUUGCAGGCUUUAUAUUUUAGGGAAAUAUUUAAUGACAAAGGAAAAUAAGUUAAAAUACAGAACUACUGUACUGUCUUUCAAGGUGCACUCUUUUUGGUAUGUUCACAUCUCUGAAAUCUGGACGCAUUUAACAAUGAAUAGGGUCCUGCAAGCUUCUUGAUACGGGAAACCAAGGCAAAUGAAAAGUUUCCUUACUGCCUACAGCCCAUUGACAAGUCCUCGAAACAGGCAGAGUGACCUUUCUCUGGGGACUCAGCUGCCUCAGUCAUGACUUUGCUAAGGGCAAAAGGCAAUCUUAGCUUAACAUUAUCCCAUCCCCCAGGACCCUAUAAGUCUACUUGAACAUAUAAAAAUUCCUUUGGAAACUUCUUUUAUCUCUCCCCCCACGAGCUCUAUGUUGGCAAUCAUGCUCCAAGCUUAUGGCCCACUGAUAAUAGACAUCUGAAGGGUCCCGUGACUGAGGUUUUACUGGACAGUAAUAAGUGACCUUUUCCUAAACAAUACCCCCCUCAAGGUCCUGGAAACCUUUCUUCCAAAAUUCCUUAGAGACUUAUGCUAUCCCUAACCCUUUCCCAACCUGAAGGUCUAUAACCAGUCACCUGUGACAACCCCAGUGUAGCUCUUUUUGCCCAUAGGUCCUGUCCCCGUGCUUUAAUAAAAUCACAUUUUUGCACCAAAGACGUAUCAAGAAUUCAUUCUUGGCUGUCAGCUCUGGACCCAUACCACCGCUCCGAAACCACAUCAUUGUUACCCAACUGCCCUUCAUUACCUGUUUACGCAAGAUAUCAAAAACACUAGCUUAGAAAAAAAAUCCUAAAAGCAGUGAUGGAACAUUCUUUCGAACACAAGGUGUCAAAAGUUUGUGGAGAAGGGAUGGGAGACGAUGAAUCAGACGUGGUGGACAGCAUACCAAAAAGCAAUCCAAAGCCUGCUCUAAGAAUUACAAAGCCAGCAUAGGAGACUUAGCACCAUGACUUGACUCCGUGAUGGAUUUUCAGGAAACACCUGUUGCCAGUGCUUUCACUGGUGAAAAGAUGAAUUCUGUGGAAAAAAUAAAUUUAUUUUACUUAAAUUUCUCUUUUUAUUUAUUGUGGGAGAGAGAGAGAAUCCCAAGCGGGGGGGGGCNNNNNNNNNNNNNCCCAACACGGGUCUCCAUCCCAGGAUCGUGAUUUGUGCUGAAAUCAAGAGUCAGACGCUCAACCGACUGAGCCAACCAGGCGUCCUCUAUUUUUUUAACUUUUAAUGUUUGACUGCCUUGAUCAUAUGAAAUCUCUUUUUCUACCCAAGUUUAUAUUUAAAUCCCAACUAGUUAACAUACAGUGUAAUAUUAGUUUCAGGUAUAGAAUUCAUAUGAAAUUUCAAUAAAAACUGUCACUGUCUCUUCUGGCCAUUAUUAUUGUUACUGGAACUAAUUUUAUUGCGUAGAAGAGUAGAGUGUUAAAAAUAAAUUAUCUACUCUAAGUGUCAAAUACAUUAUACAGUGACAAGGCCCAGGACUUACUUUUUUCACUAAGCUCUAGAGGGAAUUCUAACGCAAACUUAGCCUUGGGAAACAGAAGAGUAAAUCUGUAAAGAUCCCUUUGAUCCUACUAAAUCUUCCUUCUGCUUUAAAUCCAUUGGUACCACCCUCUCUGACAAUGAAUUCAUCAGAAACAUCCUAAUCUAUUCACAACACUUUCUGAAUCUUUGUACCCUUAUCAAGGGAUUGAUUUGAACUUGUCAUUCUUAAAUGUUUCUUAAUUUUUUUUUUGAAUUGCGCACAUUGUUUCUAUACAACUGAAGCAUAAGCUUGUUUGCAUUUAGAAAUUGGAAAAACCUGAGAUCUCAUUUGGAUUUAGAAGAUCACUUAAUACUUACGAUUUCAACCUCCCCCGUGUUCACAAUACCUGUUUUAGCUUCCCCACACUACUCUACAGGUUAGAAUGAAAACUGCAUGUAAAAUUUACUGCGCUUUGAACAUUUUGUACAGUCUCAGAAUCAUGCUGACAGUGGCUGCUCACACCUUUUGAAAACUACAACCCCAUCAGUUCUUAAAACUGAUGAAGUGUUUUCGUGCGUUUUCGUACAAACCUCUAGUUCUAUUUAACAAUAAAAGAGUGACUUCAAAAUAUUUCUUAAUUUUACACCUUGCUUGUUAUGUACGUUCAUAUUGUAGGUUUUUUGUCUCCUUUCCUUCUCCCUUCCGUGCCUUUGUACCCCCGAGGUACUGGAAGCUGAUGAAAGAGAGUUGGUUAUGUUAGAUGCCUGUCUUUUCCUGUCCGUAUUUAAGGCUCCAGGGAACUACUUGACGUUCCUGUUUCAAGAAGGUUGAAAAUAUCCGACACCGCCAAACAACAAGCUGAGCAUCCAGCCUUUGAAAAGAAGUUACGGAAUGGAUGUCUUCAACACAGUGGAUAGUACAGAUCCCAAAGAAGCAAAAAAUCUGCAUCGAGUGACGAGAGACAUACGUCGUUUUCCUAGUUCAUGAAACUCAGUAGUAUUAACUCUUCACGUGAAAACAUUUUUAUUAUAUUUCUGUGUACUGGCAAUAAACAUUUGAAAACAUGAA
rnacentral:lncRNA from 1 species